CCGCUGGUGUCGACCCUUUCUGCUAAAGAUAAUCCAUAAUCUCCCAGCAAAAUUGCAUUGUUGCAUUUGGUUUCUGUGUAACUGGCAACGAAUGUGACUUCAGUUCUGUUCAAAUUCUGUGAAGAUCUGCAAUGAAUAUUGUUCAUCCAGCAGGUGGAUAUGACGUCACGGACUCGGAACAUCAGAAAAUAACAACAUCCAAAUCCGAGAUUCCGUUUUCUUUUAUAGCGCAUUAAAUUGUAUUAACAGUAGAAGGAGCUCGCUCUCGUAUUUGAGACAGAAGGUGUUGUGAAACUCUAGAUUAUUCUCCCUGUAACGGCGCUCCGUGAAUGCAGCAGAGACAUCUUCUUGUAGUGGUUAAAGUUAGUCCCCCGAAGCGGAGUAAUAUUGUUAGUAUUUACAGUGUGGUUGUUGCAUGCUUUCUUGGUACACAAGAUCGCGUGUACAGUUCAUUAACUCUAUCACAGAAUUGUCUACUGAGUCCACCUACCAUUGUCGAUUCCGAUCGGCUGCACGUUUUAUUGAAUUGACAACAUUUUCUAUCUAAUUUAACACCUUGACUGAGUGGUUUGGACUUCACCUGGACUAAACACAAAUCCCACACGUGCAUGUUUCUGUGGCUGUGUGAGAGCAGAGCAGAGGACCAUUAAACACAACACAGUGGUCUGGUCAAGCUAAGGGCCAUACCGUGAUUGAUGUCUCUCUCCCACGCCUUGGGGCUGCUUGUUUCUCCUCAACUUCUUUACGAGGAGAAUAUGGAACAGUGGCCCCCACCAUCCACCAUCACUGGAUAUCUUCAACCGUGCUAACAAUGAGCCUCUAAUAUGUCAUCAGUACUCUUUACUCUAUGGCUUUGUGUUUUUCAGGAUUAUUCAACUAUCAUUUGAUUUUAGGCUUAAUGUAGGCCUUUUCAUUUUCAGCUGCAGAGAGCUGUACAGGUUGAAGGCAUGUCUAAAUGUUUCAUAAUUUAUAUAUAAUGGCGUAAUUGUGUGACUGUUACAAUUUACACAUUUGAUUAUUAAAGUAAUUAUCACUUUCA